rnacentral:rRNA from 1 species
GACGAACGCUGGCGGCGUGCUUAACACAUGCAAGUCGAACGGAAAGGCCCUGCUUUUGUGGGGUGCUCGAGUGGCGAACGGGUGAGUAACACGUGAGUAACCUGCCCUUGACUUUGGGAUAACUUCAGGAAACUGGGGCUAAUACCGGAUAGGAGCUCCUGCUGCAUGGUGGGGGUUGGAAAGUUUCGGCGGUUGGGGAUGGACUCGCGGCUUAUCAGCUUGUUGGUGGGGUAGUGGCUUACCAAGGCUUUGACGGGUAGCCGGCCUGAGAGGGUGACCGGCCACAUGGGGACUGAGAUACGGCCCAGACUCCUACGGGAGGCAGCAGGGGGGAAUAUUGCACAAUGGGCGGAAGCCUGAUGCAGCAACGCCGCGUGCGGGAUGACGGCCUUCGGGUGGUAAACCGCUUUCGCCUGUGACGAAGCGUGAGUGACGGUAAUGGGUAAAGAAGCACCGGCUAACUACGU